AGUUUGAUCAUGGCUCAGAUUGAACGCUGGCGGCAUGCCUUACACAUGCAAGUCGAACGGCAGCACGGGAGCUUGCUCCUGGUGGCGAGUGGCGAACGGGUGAGUAAUACAUCGGAACGUACCCUGAAGUGGGGGAUAACGUAGCGAAAGUUACGCUAAUACCGCAUAUUCUGUGAGCAGGGAAGAGGGGGAUCGCAAGACCUCUUGCUUUAGGAGCGGCCGAUGUCGGAUUAGCUAGUUGGUGAGGUAAAGGCUCACCAAGGCGACGAUCCGUAGCGGGUCUGAGAGGAUGAUCCGCCACACUGGGACUGAGACACGGCCCAGACUCCUACGGGAGGCAGCAGUGGGGAAUUUUGGACAAUGGGCGCAAGCCUGAUCCAGCCAUGCCGCGUGAGUGAAGAAGGCCUUCGGGUUGUAAAGCUCUUUCGGUGGGGAAGAAAUUGCUUCGGUUAAUACCUGGAGUAGAUGACGGUACCCGCAUAAGAAGCACCGGCUAACUACGUG
rnacentral:rRNA from 1 species